rnacentral:lncRNA from 1 species
AAUGCAAUGCUGCUGGUGGUGAAGUCUGCGGUCCCACAGCUGCUCUGUAUGCCUGUCCAGCAGUGCCACCAGCCCACUGAAUGCUCUGGGGCCCAAGCUGCCCCAGGUGGCUGUAUUCACACUGCUGCCUCUAAUGGGAGGCAGCUGGGACUGACUGGAGCGACCGCAUCCUUCAAAACUGCUCCUUUUAACAUUUAAUUAUUAUUUAUAGGGCUGUGUUCUGAUCCUAUGGGAGGGAGAAGCUACAGCCCCCUGCCCAUCCCAGAGGAGCCAUGGCUAUAAUGGGGUUGACCCCUUAUGGCACCUAAUUGAAUUUAGGGAGGGAAAAAUUCCCCGGGCAGCGUGAAGGGGGGACAGAGCGGGGCAGACACCGGUGUCACUGAUGGAUGAGCCCCAGUGCUUCGCUGCAUCUUAACCAUGGGCAGGAACCUGGAAGAAAACAAACAGCGACAGCAAACCACACGGGAUACACGAGCACGACCUCGGCCUGUGGGGAUGGAGCCUGGGGUGUCCCUCCCAGCGAGGAGCUCUCAGAGGCUUAAAGAAGAAGGCAUCCUAUUUUGUGCUCCCAGCAGAACUGCUCACAGCACUUGCCCAGAGCUUCAGGACAACGUCACCUCAGCUCCAACCCAAGGAUCAGGCACCCCCUGGCCAUGUCACUCCCUGCAGUCUGCUCUCUGGGUCCAAAAGCAGCUAAGGAGGCCCUGAAUCACUCCAACUACAGCACAGAAGCGCUCGAGGUCCUUCUGCUCCUACUCCAACGCUCAGCAGCCCUGACCCCAGCACCCCCUGCAGCCA